rnacentral:rRNA from 1 species
UACGGAGGAGGCAAGCGUUAUCCGGAAUUAUUGGGCGUAAAGCGUCCGUAGGUGGUUGACCAAGUCUGCUGUCAAAGGGUGGGGCUUAACCCCAUAAAGGCAGUGGAAACUGGUGAGCUAGAGUGCGGUAGGGGUAAGGGGAAUUCCCAGUGUAGCGGUGAAAUGCGUAGAGAUUGGCAAGAACAUCGCUGGCGAAAGCGCCUUGCUGGGCCUGCACUGACACUGAGGGACGAAAGCGUGGGGAGCAAACAGG